rnacentral:rRNA from 1 species
AGCGAACGCUGGCGGCAGGCCUAACACAUGCAAGUCGAACGAACCUUUCGGGGUUAGUGGCGGACGGGUGAGUAACACGUGGGAACGUGCCUUUAGGUUCGGAAUAACUCAGGGAAACUUGUGCUAAUACCGAAUGUGCCCUUCGGGGGAAAGAUUUAUCGCCUUUAGAGCGGCCCGCGUCUGAUUAGCUAGUUGGUUGAGGUAAUGGCUCACCAAGGCGACGAUCAGUAGCUGGUCUGAGAGGAUGAUCAGCCUCAUUGGGACUGAGACACGGCCCAAACUCCUACGGGAGGCAGCAGUGGGGAAUCUUGCGCAAUGGGCGAAAGCCUGACGCAGCCAUGCCGCGUGAAUGAUGAAGGUCUUAGGAUUGUAAAAUUCUUUCACCGGGGACGAUAAUGACGGUACCCGGAGAAGAAGCCCCGGCUAACUUCGUG